UGACAGUCCAGGGACCGCAGGGAAACACAGCUUCGCCGUGGAUGUGGCUGAAGGACCCAUGAGCAUUGGGAUUGGGGCUGUGCCGUUGGGACGAAUCUGUGGUUUUAAAAACAGAAACAAGUUUUCAUUUGCUCCCCUCCUACCCCCCGGAUUCUGUUGCUCCAGGCUCCUUGAGGGAUGUAAAGGGUCGGCCACAAAUAGCAGAACAUUUGCUGAAGAAAAGGAUGGAGGCUGAAAACAAACCUGCAUCCACGAUCGAAUCGGAAUGACACAGGCUGCACACUCGGAGCCAUGGUGGCAGGACCCCCAGACGGGCUCCUGAAGGCUGUCGAAGACGUGGGCAUGACGAGCGAGGCUCAGGGAACGUGUCGGAGAAGAUGGUGCCUCAGAGCUGGGCCUCCCUGCCCCUCCUUCCAAAUCCCUGCCUGGCACUCCCACCACAGGGCGGGGGCCUGUGCUAUCCCCUCUGCUGCCUCUGGCAGGCCCUGCACAGCCGGGCUCCCAGGACUCCAUGCCCCGCCUGGGCUGGCUGCUUCCUCCACAGCACGUCCUCCACCAUGCCUGCCUCAGGCCAGAAAUGCCACCGGAGGCUCCGGUCAGCCGUGGGGGCGCCGUGGAGGGAGUCAGCCGCUUUCCUGCCGGAGCCCCAGGCAGCCUGUGGGGAGAACCCCGAGUGCAGGCGGCUUGGCAUAGUCACCCCCAGGGAAGCAGCACGGAGAUGCCCGUUCAGCUUAGUGAUGAGGGGCCUUGAGGCGAUCGGCUGUGAACCAGGAUGUGUUCUCCUGGAUCCAA